rnacentral:rRNA from 1 species
UACGUAGGUGGCAAGCGUUGUCCGGAUUUACUGGGCGUAAAGAGCGCGCAGGCGGUCGUUCAAGUCGCGUGUGAAAGCCCCCGGCUCAACUGGGGAGGGUCACGCGAUACUGCUCGACUUGAAGGCAGGAGAGGGAAGUGGAAUUCCCGGUGUAGUGGUGAAAUGCGUAGAUAUCGGGAGGAACACCAGUGGCGAAGGCGACUUCCUGGCCUGUUCUUGACGCUGAGGCGCGAAAGCCAGGGGAGCAAACGGG